ensembl:piRNA 21ur-8580 ncRNA
UAUUAUUCGGAUUUCAGAUAG